rnacentral:misc_RNA from 1 species
AUACAAGUUUUUUUUCUGCUUUUCUAGAUAGUAAUUAGCUUUUCUUUUCUGCUUAUCAGUACAUCACAUAUACAGGUUGGCAAUGAUAAGUAAAUGACGUUUAUUUAAAGGUCAAAGGUCACUGGAGUUUCCGGUACAUUGCCCAAUCAGUAUCUUGAAGAAGCAUACAUGGACACAUAUAAUGUCAUACAUUGGAAUGCAUUUCUCAUUUUCCAAUAAUGUCUACAUGUACAUACAUGUGUAUUUGUUGUGAAUAUUUAGUUUAAGGAAACAUUGUUCAUACAAAGGAUUAUGGAUUAUCUAAAUGUAAUUGUUGGAUGUACAGAGCUCUCCAAGAGUGUAAAGAUUUAGUACAUGUAUAAAAGCUGUACCUGUAUUUGCAUUUUGUUGAUUUUGUUAUUGUUUAUUGAAAUAAAAAUUGCAUAGCUACUG